AGAGUUUGAUCCUGGCUCAGGACGAACGCUGGCGGCGUGCCCAAUACAUGCAAGUCGAGCGAAUCUGAGGGAGCUUGCUCCCAAAGAUUAGCGGCGGACGGGUGAGUAACACGUGGGCAACCUGCCUGUAAGACUGGGAUAACUUCGGGAAACCGGAGCUAAUACCGGAUAAUCCUUUUCUACUCAUGUAGAAAAGCUGAAAGAUGGCUUCGGCUAUCACUUACAGAUGGGCCCGCGGCGCAUUAGCUAGUUGGUGAGGUAACGGCUCACCAAGGCGACGAUGCGUAGCCGACCUGAGAGGGUGAUCGGCCACACUGGGACUGAGACACGGCCCAGACUCCUACGGGAGGCAGCAGUAGGGAAUCUUCCGCAAUGGACGAAAGUCUGACGGAGCAACGCCGCGUGAGUGAUGAAGGUUUUCGGAUCGUAAAACUCUGUUGUUAGGGAAGAACAAGUACCGUUCGAAUAGGGCGGUACCUUGACGGUACCUAACCAGAAAGCCACGGCUAACUACGUGCCAGCAGCCGCGGUAAUACGUAGGUGGCAAGCGUUGUCCGGAAUUAUUGGGCGUAAAGCGCGCGCAGGUGGUUUCUUAAGUCUGAUGUGAAAGCCCCCGGCUCAACCGGGGAGGGUCAUUGGAAACUGGGAGACUUGAGUGCAGAAGAGGAAAGUGGAAUUCCAAGUGUAGCGGUGAAAUGCGUAGAGAUUUGGAGGAACACCAGUGGCGAAGGCGACUUUCUGGUCUGUAACUGACACUGAGGCGCGAAAGCGUGGGGAGCGAACAGGAUUAGAUACCCUGGUAGUCCACGCCGUAAACGAUGAGUGCUAAGUGUUAGAGGGUUUCCGCCCUUUAGUGCUGCAGCAAACGCAUUAAGCACUCCGCCUGGGGAGUACGGCCGCAAGGCUGAAACUCAAAGGAAUUGACGGGGGCCCGCACAAGCGGUGGAGCAUGUGGUUUAAUUCGAAGCAACGCGAAGAACCUUACCAGGUCUUGACAUCCUCUGACAAUCCUAGAGAUAGGACGUUCCCCUUCGGGGGACAGAGUGACAGGUGGUGCAUGGUUGUCGUCAGCUCGUGUCGUGAGAUGUUGGGUUAAGUCCCGCAACGAGCGCAACCCUUGAUCUUAGUUGCCAGCAUUCAGUUGGGCACUCUAAGGUGACUGCCGGUGACAAACCGGAGGAAGGUGGGGAUGACGUCAAAUCAUCAUGCCCCUUAUGACCUGGGCUACACACGUGCUACAAUGGAUGGUACAAAGGGCUGCAAGACCGCGAGGUUUAGCCAAUCCCAUAAAACCAUUCUCAGUUCGGAUUGCAGGCUGCAACUCGCCUGCAUGAAGCCGGAAUCGCUAGUAAUCGCGGAUCAGCAUGCCGCGGUGAAUACGUUCCCGGGCCUUGUACACACCGCCCGUCACACCACGAGAGUUUGUAACACCCGAAGUCGGUGGGGUAACCGCAAGGAGCCAGCCGCCUAAGGUGGGACAGGUGAUUGGGGUGAAGUCGUAACAAGGUAACC
rnacentral:rRNA from 1 species